rnacentral:tRNA from 1 species
UAAGACUUGUGAACCACUAGUUCACAUCUUCUGAAUGCAACUCAAACACUUUCA